GGCCAUAACUCAGUGGCAGAGUACCUGCUUUGCAUGCAUAUGGUCAUAGGUUCAAUCCCCAGGUACCAGGGUUG